UCAGCAUCUGAAUUAUAAAACAUCGCCUAACCGUUGUCAUGUAAUAUUUCCCAGAGAAAAUGAUAUUACAUGUUUCGGGUAGGAGCUGUUCAAACUUUGGACAUUGGCAU
rnacentral:pre_miRNA from 15 species